UGCAGCUCAGUGGUAGAGCACUUGCCUAGCAUGUGUGAGGCACUGGGUUCCAUUCUCAGCACUGCAU
rnacentral:tRNA from 1 species